rnacentral:rRNA from 1 species
UACAGAGGUCCCGAGCGUUGUUCGGAUUCACUGGGCGUAAAGGGUGCGUAGGUGGCAUGGUAAGUUUGAUGUGAAAGCUCAGGGCUCAACCCUGAAAUGGCAUUGAAUACUACUGUGCUGGAGGUUUGGAGGGGGGACUGGAAUUCUUGGUGUAGCAGUGAAAUGCGUAGAUAUCAAGUAGAACACCAGUGGCGAAGGCGAGUCCCUGGAAAACUCCUGACACUGAGGCACGAAAGCUAGGGGAGCAAACAGG